AUGAUUAUCACCUGAACAAAGUCAGGGUUGGCUUUAUAAAAGCUACAGUGCCUGCACUCCUUUACUGGUAUGGUAUAUACAUAAAAAAGUAUUUUUCUCAAAGGUAGGCCACCAGGGCCAGUAGAAAUUUUCUGAACACUAUGGGUGAUAUGGUGAGGCCAAAGAGGCAGCAGGUCGGCAGAUGAUCGCUUGAUGAUGUAAUUGACAAUGGAUGUACAGCCUCAGUGCCGGGUUACGGGCACCAACAAAAGUUACUGAAGGCCGAUCUGGAACUUACAGACGGGUAAUCCGGUUGGGAGAAUGAUUGAACUCUGCCUUCUCGUUGGAAUGCAGCUCGCUUGAAAAUCCUCGUUUUGGAUUCAUUGUUCCUGAAACCCCUGUUGGGUCAUGGUUGGUGGUGCACUUCCCGUUGGAAGCCAUUCAGAGGUCGACCGGCCGGUCUUCGCUCCAAGGACACGCUCCGAUCCUUCUUUCUGGUACCAUUUUUAUAUGAAGAUUAUCGCAUCAAGAAAGAGGAGGAACACUCACAGACAGCCCCUUUUAUAGGGCGUGGUUAGAGGAUUGUAUGGACUACUGAGGGGGUACUCUGUUUUAAAAAAGUUUUUUUACAUUAAAGUUAUUAGAAAUGUAUUCUGCUGUGAGCAUUA